rnacentral:tRNA from 1 species
GCGGCUGUAGCUCAGUGGCAGAGCGCCUUCCUCUCAUGCAUGAGGCACUGGGUUCAAUCCUCAGCACCACA